rnacentral:misc_RNA from 1 species
GAAUUGCGAUAAGUAAUGUGAAUUGCAGAAUUACGUGAAUCAUCGAAUCUUUGAACGCAUAUUGCACUCUCUGGUAAUCCGGGGAGUAUGCCUGUUUGAGGGUCAGUAAAUAAUAAAUUAUCACAAUCAUUGGUUGUGGAAUUGGGCUCUUAUUUCGAAUAGAUUUAUGGCCUUAAAUUUACGUCAUGUGCUUAAUUCGAACCAAACGGAGCAAUUAAACAUUCUCUCGUUAGACGGAUUACUCACUAGCCAUUACGAUUUUUUGGACGACAAAAAGCACUUUCACGAGCGCGAAGCCCAAGAUCGUAAAUUCAUCCUGACAAAUGACCUCAAAUCAGGCAAGAAUACCCGCUGAACUUAA